rnacentral:rRNA from 1 species
UACGAAGGGGGCUAGCGUUGUUCGGAAUCACUGGGCGUAAAGCGCACGUAGGCGGAUUGUUAAGUCGGGGGUGAAAUCCUGAGGCUCAACCUCAGAACUGCCUUCGAUACUGGCAAUCUCGAGUCUGGAAGAGGUUGGUGGAACAGCUAGUGUAGAGGUGAAAUUCGUAGAUAUUAGCUAGAACACCAGUGGCGAAGGCGGCCAACUGGUCCGGUACUGACGCUGAGGUGCGAAAGCGUGGGGAGCAAACAGG